rnacentral:rRNA from 1 species
CGUGAGUGAUGAAGGUCCUGGGGUCGUAAAGCUCUUUCGCCAGGGAUGAUAAUGACAGUACCUGGUAAAGAAACCCCGGCUAACUCCGCGCCAGCAGCCGCGGUAAUACGAAGGGUGCAAGCGUUGUUCGGAAUCACUGGGCGUAAAGGGCGUGUAGGCGGACUGACAAGUUAGAGGUGAAAGCCCCGGGCCCAACCUGGGAACUGCCUUUAAAACUGUUAGUCUAGAAUCCGGGAGGGGAGUGUGGAAUUCCUAGUGUAGAGGUGAAAUCCGUAGAUAUUAGGAAGAACACCGGUGGCGAAGGCGACACUCUGGACCGGUAUUGACGCUGAGGCGCGAAAGCGUGGGGAGCAAACAGGAUUAGAUACCCUGGUAGUCCACGCCGUAAACGAUGUCUGCUAGCCGCUGGGGCACUUAGUGCUUCGGUGGCGCCGCUAACGCAUUAAGCAG